AAACUUGAGAGUUUGAUCCUGGCUCAGAACGAACGCUGGCGGCAGGCUUAACACAUGCAAGUCGAACGCGUGUAGCAAUACACGAGUGGCGCACGGGCGAGUAACACGUGGAUAUCUGCCUUUUGGUUCGGAAUAACCCUGGGAAACUAGGGCUAAUACCGGAUGGAUCCUACGGGAUAAAGAUUUAUCGCCAAGAGAUGAGUCCGCGUCCGAUUAGCUAGUUGGUGAGGUAAUGGCUCACCAAGGCAACGAUCGGUAGCUGGUCUGAGAGGACGAUCAGCCACACUGGGACUGAGACACGGCCCAGACUCCUACGGGAGGCAGCAGUGGGGAAUAUUGGACAAUGGGCGAAAGCCUGAUCCAGCAAUGCCGCGUGAGUGAUGAAGGCCUUAGGGUUGUAAAGCUCUUUCGGGUGGGACGAUGAUGACGGUACCACCAGAAGAAGCCCCGGCUAACUUCGUGCCAGCAGCCGCGGUAAUACGAAGGGGGCUAGCGUUGUUCGGAAUUACUGGGCGUAAAGCGCACGCAGGCGG
rnacentral:rRNA from 1 species